ensembl:lncRNA
AUGCUAUGGAACAGAAGACUUCCGGCCUCACCGCCCCAUCCUGAGCCCCGGAGUGGGGGUGGGGGGUGGGCCGGGGCAGCAACACACACCUGCAGUGACUGGCGCUGGGCCAGCCUCCAGCAGCACCGAGAGAGGAACGACUGGAAUGGGGACUGGGAGCAACAGCAGCAACACCGGAUCCUUCCUGGGAUCCCUGUUUGGGGGCAAGCGAUCCAAAACGCCGGGUCCUAUUAUCCCCCCGGGGCCACCCUACCCCGCCCCUGUGGCCCCACCGACUACAGGAGGUCCGCCGCCUCUGUCCCCGUCCUCGCUGUGCCCGGGAGAUGCUGGGGGGCCUUCCAAGAUCCAGGCUCUGCACGCCCAGUAUUGCCACACUACCAGCAACAGUGUCAGUGGGCAGCCUCCGCCCCCAUACUACCACCACCAUCGCUUCCAUACACAAACCGUACCCUCGUCUGGGCAGCAAGGCCUCCAUACUCUUCAGCGGGUCACCUUGCCUCGACGGCCACACCCCAACCCCUCCGUGCACUCCCCAUACCAGCCGAUCUCCCAGCAUACUUUGCAGGGUCGCUACGGGAGCAUGGGCAACAUGGGCUCCGGCCUCCCUCCCCCCCUUUCUCCUCACUCCCCACUCUCCCCUCACCCGCAGUUUGCGCUCUUUCACACGCAGCCCACACACUUGGCCAGAGGGGGCACCAUCAGCAAGCCACCUCUCACGCUGUCACACUCGCAGCCGCACCUGCACGCACACUCCCAUCCCGCCCACGUGCACACGCCGCACCCGGCCUCCCAUCCCGCGCACCAACCUCACUUCGUCUUCGCCAGCCCUCCUCCUCCGCCCUUCCCUGCUCCCACUCAGCCGCCUCCAGUCUCCGCGUCCGGCACUGUCCACCACGUGCCUCCGGCCGUCCAGUAUCUGCCCCAGUAUCCUCCAUUGUCCUCCAUCCCCCCUCCCCCUCCACACUCCCCUUUACCCCCCCCUUCCUGCCCCCUUACCCCUCUUACGCCUCUCUCCCCUCUCCCCCCCCAGCACCAAGGCCCCCCUUCACAAGCCGGGGGUCAGCAAGGGCCCUCACCAGCUCAGACUGGAGCCGUACCUGGGGGGACGGGCACGGUCGAACGCGCCAAAUCCAAACCUACCAACCGGAUCAGCACGGUAGUGUGAGCCGGGGAAAGUCGCGAGGCUGGGGGUCGCUGAAGGGUCCUUUGGUGGUUGGAGGGGGGACCGCCGCGAGGCUGGAGGAGGCAGGUGGCGGCAGGGCCAAAGCCGAUAACAACACCAGUGGGAAAAAGAAACGCAGCCUGCUAAGACUCUGCUACUUUCACCUGCGCUUCCCACAAGUGUAA